AGCGCAGGCGGGAGAUCAAGUCUAUCUUAAAAGUGCGGGGCUCAACCCCGUGAGGGGAUGGAAACUGGUCUUCUUGAGUGCAGGAGAGGAAAGCGGAAUUCCUAGUGUAGCGGUGAAAUGCGUAGAUAUUAGGAGGAACACCAGUGGCGAAGGCGGCUUUCUGGACUGCGACUGACGCUGAGGCUCGAAAGCGUGGGAGCGAACA
rnacentral:rRNA from 1 species